rnacentral:rRNA from 1 species
UACGUAGGGGGCGAGCGUUGUCCGGAUUUAUUGGGCGUAAAGAGCUCGUAGGCGGUUUGGUAAGUCGGGUGUGAAAUCUCCACGCUCAACGUGGAGGGGCCACUCGAUACUGCCAUGACUCGAGUCCGGUAGAGGAGUGUGGAAUUCCCGGUGUAGCGGUGAAAUGCGCAGAUAUCGGGAGGAACACCGGUGGCGAAGGCGGUUCUCUGGGCAUGUCCUGACGCUGAGGAGCGAAAGUGUGGGGAGCGAACAGG